CAGGUCGAGAGGCGCUGCAACGGGCCGGAGGCCCGCCACGCUCGACCCGAUGUUCAGACCGCAAGGGCGCCUCCGGAGA
rnacentral:ncRNA from 2 species